AAAAAUAAAUUAACCUUCAGCCUUAACAGUUUGCUGGCUCUCGGAAGCAAAGUUAGUUGCAAGGUUGGAAAUCGUUGCAAAUAACUUUAAUUAGCUCACUUACGAACAACUCCUAUAUAUACUGAAAGGAAAAAACUAGAAGAAGAGAGAUCGAGAAGGAGAAGGAAGAAGCUUACAGUGCUAUAAGCUUUGGAGCCCUAGGGCUAGAGAUCGGAGGUUCGUUUCCAGAAGUGUACAUACAAAAGAAAAAGAAAGAAAGUUAGGGAGUGAGAGAGAUAAACAUAGAGAGAUAAACUCAUCAUAAUAAACUCAGAUGACUAGUCAAAUUACUUGUGACUUGGAAUUUACUUUUUGAAAUUGAUGAUUGUUGAAGAUCUGAUAAUUAAAACGAGUCAGGGCGAGCUCGAAAGAGGAAGUACCCAGCAACAUUUUUGGAAACCUCUAUAAAAUCUGGUGACUAUCAAACAUGGAGGAAGAAAAUUAGAGCCUUACUUGCCCAGAACAAGCUGCUGAAAUUCUAAGUGAGCCUAUUGAAUGGCCAGCAUAUACAACAAAGGCUUAGAAGGAAGAAAUGCUGGAAACAACAACAAGACUAAUAAUUUUUAGCCUAUAUCUAAUUUAAUAACCAGGUUGGUUGAUAAGGAGGAUACACUAGCUAAAAUUUGGAAGAAGCCGGACCAACGAUUUUAGAAUAAUUCUUUAACCAACAAGAUUUUCUUGUAGGAAAUAAUCUUUGGAUUCAAGAUGAGUCUGGAACAAAACUUAAAUGAGUUCUUAAGGAUGCACAUAGAGUUGGCAAACUUAGGGGAAUUUGAAGCUUUGAGUGAUGAGAAUCAAGCUAUAAUUAUUCUCAAUUCACUGCAAGAGUCUUACAAGGAAGUGACGACUGCAAUAAAGUAUGGGAGAAUUGAGAUUAAUCUUGAAGAAGUAAUCUGAGCUCUGAAGUCUAAAGACUUAGAGAUGAAGGUGGAGAAACUUAAUAGCCUUAAUGGAGAUCUAAAUCUAAGUAGAGGGAGACCAAAUUAGAAGAAACCAUGGCAAAAUCAAGGAAGAAGUAAAAGCAGAGGUCCACACAAGGGAAUUAAUCAAAAUAGAGGAAAAUCAAACUCAAUAGGACAUAAAGACCCUAAUGGAAGCUAUCAUUGUGGAAAGCGACACACUCCAAAAGAUAAUGUUAAUUCUACUAGAGAAGUGGUGGAAAACCUAAUUCAGAUCAUCAAGAAGAUUUAAACAAACAAAACAAGAACAAGAAUAAUUAUCAUAAUACCAAUCUCAGUGAUAGUUAUGAUAGUGGGGAUGUCUAUGUGGCUGCAUCAUCUUUUAAAGAUGAUUGAAUUAUUGAUUUUGGGUGUACUCGCUGUGAUAUUUUGCACACGCAAGUGUACAUAUCGUUAACAAGUAGUAAACUCACCAAGAGUGAGGUCCAUCCCACGA